GAUGAACGCUGGCGGCGUGCCUAAUACAUGCAAGUCGAGCGAACGGACGAGAAGCUUGCUUCUCUGAUGUUAGCGGCGGACGGGUGAGUAACACGUGGAUAACCUACCUAUAAGACUGGGAUAACUUCGGGAAACCGGAGCUAAUACCGGAUAAUAUUUUGAACCGCAUGGUUCACAAGUGAAAGACGGUCUUGCUGUCACUUAUAGAUGGAUCCGCGCUGCAUUAGCUAGUUGGUAAGGUAACGGCUUACCAAGGCAACGAUGCAUAGCCGACCCGAGAGGGUGAUCGGCCACACUGGAACUGAGAGACGGUCCAGACUCCUAAGGGAGGCAGCAGUAGGGAAUCUUACGCAAUGGGCGAAAGCCUGACGGAGCAACGCCGCGUGAGUGAUGAAGGUCUUCGGAUCGUAAAACGCUGUUAUUAGGGAAGAACAUAUGUGUAAGUAACUGUGCAGAUCUUGACGGUACCGAAUCAGAAAGCCACGGCUAACUACGUG
rnacentral:rRNA from 1 species